UUUCUUUUUUCUGGCACAUGGCUUAAUCGUUACACUCUGUGAGUCCUCAAGGACCCUCGCAGUUUCAACAUUUUGCGAAAUAUUCUCAAGCUUUAUGGCACCUUGGAAGAAACAAAAGCUUUACAGAGAAAAGGCUGGCUUGGCAGAGGGACCGGCUCCCUCCUCAAAUUACGGUUCUAUGUUCUGGUGCUUUGCUUUUU
rnacentral:lncRNA from 1 species